rnacentral:lncRNA from 1 species
AAAAAUCCUCCAUUCACCUUCCUAAGUGAGUGAGGUACGUGGUCCCAAACGGUGGGCUGGUUUCAUAGAGAGAACCCGUGUCCUAGGUCUCUCUGGACCCCGAGAAACUCCUCAGUCCCAGUUUCCUGUCUGUAGCCCUGAGAGAGACAGUAGUCAGCUGCACAGCGGCGGUAACCGCAGCACGGAGACUCUGGAACCUCCCAGGUCUCCCACUGCCCAGACAGAUCUACUCACCUGAGAAUCAGAACUACGAGCCCUGGAUGGUGAAGACAGGGUACGGUUGCCAAGGAUCCAGGAUUCGAGUCUAUAUUCCUGAGGCAGAAACUUGGAGAAGAACAAGAAGAAUAAUGAGUACUUCUAUGGUAAAUGCUUCCCAGUGAUCAUGAGUGUUUUCAUACAUGAAAUUUGCUUGUCCUAGAAGAGAUUCUGCCCAUUGCUCAAUGUGCCUGCAGAUUUCAGAAGAGAGCACUGGAUUUCAAAUUG